GGUAUCCUAGAUACAAAUAUUGCUUUUAAUACCUUUUUUAAUAUUUUUAUGUAUCAUUUUAACAUUAAUUUUCCUAUUAUAAAUAAAAAGUCCAAAUUAAAUAGUAAUAAAUGGGUUAAUAAUGAGGUGAGACAAUCAAGUUGCCAAUUAAAAAAUUUGCAUGCAUUAUCUAGGGCAUUUCCAGAGUUGCGUGAUUAUUAUAGACAUAAAAAAA
rnacentral:lncRNA from 1 species